GCGCCCAUAGCUCAGCUGGUAGAGCAGGUCCCUCUUAAGGACAAGGUCGUUGGUUCGAUCCCAACUGGGCGCA
rnacentral:tRNA from 1 species